rnacentral:rRNA from 1 species
GAUGAACGCUGGCGGCGUGCCUAAUACAUGCAAGUCGAGCGAACAGAUGAGGAGCUUGCUCCUUUGACGUUAGCGGCGGACGGGUGAGUAACACGUAGGUAACCUACCUAUAAGACUGGGAUAACUUCGGGAAACCGGAGCUAAUACCGGAUAAUAUUUCGAACUGCAUGGUUCGAUAGUGAAAGAUGGCUUUGCUAUCACUUAUAGAUGGACCUGCGCCGUAUUAGCUAGUUGGUAAGGUAACGGCUUACCAAGGCAACGAUACGUAGCCGACCUGAGAGGGUGAUCAGCCACACUGGAACUGAGACACGGUCCAGACUCCUACGGGAGGCAGCAGUAGGGAAUCUUCCGCAAUGGGCGAAAGCCUGACGGAGCAACACCGCGUGAGUGAUGAAGGUCUUCGGAUCGUAAAACUCUGUUAUUAGGGAAGAACAAACGUGUAAGUAACUGUGCACGUCUUGACGGUACCUAAUCAGAAAGCCACGGCUAACUACGUG